AUUGAACGCUGGCGGCAUGCCUUACACAUGCAAGUCGAACGGCAGCACGGGAGCUUGCUCCUGGUGGCGAGUGGCGAACGGGUGAGUAAUAUAUCGGAACGUACCCUAGAGUGGGGAUAACGCAGCGAAAGUUGCGCUAAUACCGCAUACGAUCUACGGAUGAAAGUGGGGAUCGCAAGACCUCAUGCUCAUGGAGCGGCCGAUAUCUGAUUAGCUAGUUGGUGAGGUAAAGGCUCACCAAGCCGACGAUCUGUAGCUGGUCUGAGAGGACGACCAGCCACACUGGACUGAGACACGGCCCAGACUACCUACGGGAGGCAGCAGUGGGGAAUUUUGGACG
rnacentral:rRNA from 1 species